ACUUCAUUUCAACAACGUCCAUGUUCUGUUUACAAUCCGCGAUAUUUUAAUGUUAAGACUUUUAGACGUAAAACAAAAGUCAAGUAAUAUUGCACGGUCUUCUAAAGAAGGGCGAGGCGAACACUUGUAAAUCAUUUUAAAAGUGACACAAACUAGCAACGCCCUUUUAGCAGUCCCUAAGAUUAGACACAAGGCUAAGCUAGAAACUUUUUUGCCCAAGCACUGACUGUAAACAGCUUGAAACCACACAAAGCAUGACCGCGUUCAACUUCAAAACUUGAACGCGCAACAGUGUGAAGACGUGUUUAAGUCCAUCCUGUGCUCUGCGAUAGGCGAUGAGGCCAAUGACGGCACCCAGAAAAUCCGGAGCUGGAACCUUGUACUUUACUGGUCUGGAUCUGGAUCUGGAAUCAGCUCUAGUGCAGAUCUGAGAAUCAACUAUACUCGUGCAUUAAACCGCGAUGAAUCACAA